rnacentral:tRNA from 1 species
GAAGGCAUUCGUAUCCGGUGGUACGGCCGGACUUCAAAUCCGGUUAGGGGCGUCAGACGUUCCUGGGUAGGUUCGACUCCUGCUGCCUUCCGCCA